rnacentral:RNase_P_RNA from 1 species
UCUGGGCAAAUGCUGCAUAAAUUUUAUGUAGAGGAAAGUCCAUGCUCGCACAAUCUGCGAUGAUUGUAGUGUUCAUGCUUAGAGAAAAAAUAAUCUAAGGUAGCUUUGCUAACGGCUCCGAAAUAACCUUAAAUGGUUAAAUUAGGUAUAAAAGUGCCAAAGAGACGAGACUAUUUGGAAACAAAUAGAGUGGAACGUGGUAAACCCCAUGAGCGAGAAACCCAAAUUUUGGUAGGGGAGUUUUACUAGGGAAUUAAACCGAUGUAAGAAUCGAAAGAUAGAUAAAUAUUUGCCGCCCUUUUAGGGUACAGAACAUGGCUUAUAA